UACGUAGGGGGCGAGCGUUAUCCGGAAUUACUGGGCGUAAAGCGCACGCAGGCGGUUUGUCAAGUUUGGAGUGACAGUUGUCGGCUCAACCGACAAAGGACUUCAAAAACUGGUGAACUUGAGGACGAGAGAGGAACAUGGAACUCCAGGUGUAGUAGUGAAAUGCGUAGAUAUCGGGAGGAACACCAGUGGCGAAGGCGAUCAUCUGGGAUUAACCUGACGCUGAGGAGCGAAAGCCAGGGGAGCAAACGGG
rnacentral:rRNA from 1 species